rfam:Canis lupus familiaris chromosome 15, whole genome shotgun sequence.
AGGAGGAACAACCCCAGUGGUUGCCGCAGCUCUGGAAACCUGGAUUCAGCUCCCGCAGGAACUACUCUGUCUGCAGGACCUGGAGGCUCCGGGGCGGG